rnacentral:lncRNA from 1 species
UUCCAUUGAGGCCGCCCAGGCGGGGCCGCGUGAGACGAUUGGCUAUGGGCUUGUGUCACUCUCGAGAGCUCAAUGGAGUCCCGUUUCAAGACCUGGGUGAAACUCACAGCAAGAAGAAAGAAAAGCACUUUGAAGAAAUGGAGUCAAGGGGGAAAAGGAAGACUCCACCCCAUCUAGACUAGAUGUAUGAAUAACAGAAGAUUGGUAUGUGGACUUGCCUUUCACCGAAAGGGGGGAAAAGUUGUGAAAAUUGACACCAGUGUGAAUUUAUACCGUGGCAACCACGCAAGAGAAAGAGGCAGGAAUUAGCACCAUGGACAGAGACGAGCAGCCCUCAAAUUAAGAUUUGCAAAGCUUGAGACGGUGUUUUCUGUCCCUUUCUGUGAGACACGGAAACUGCGUGUCUUGGGAAUGUUUUAUUCCACGGGACUUUGCGGAAAAGACUGUCCUACUCCACAGAAACUCAUUUAUUUUGAAUUAGGCUGGCAUUUCUUAGGACUCAGCCAUCAUGACAAACUGUCAGGAGACUUAGAGCCCCGAACUCGCUGUGCACCUUCCACUGUCCUGUUUUACAUACACUCCCUUGCCGGCGUGAGCUCGCCUUUCUUCAGAGUGUUCAUGAAAAAUAAAUGCAAAUCCAGGUAGUCUUCGAAAAGUCUGGUAAACCUGCUCCAGAGUUUUUAAUCCUCGAAUAUCCCAGCUGGAAUUGCAGCAAAAAUGCCUGCC